GCCCCGCCCACCGCCGUUGCCAUGGCGGCGGCGCGGUCUGCUCGGAGCGGGCCGGGACGCCGCGCCCCGUGACCCCUCCCGGAGGCAGAGGAUGGCUGAGGUUGGAAAGCGCCUCCGGAGGUCAUGGAAUCCGCCCUCCUGCUCCCCUAGAGCGCGCUGUCCGGCACUGUGUCCAGGGAAGGAGAUUCCGUGGCCCUCUGCCGUCCGCCCCACACUGAGGCCUGAAAGAUUCCCCUUCCCAAGUGGCGCUGCGCGCACACUUCUGCUUUGCGUCCUUCCAGUCAAAGCUGUGUGACCCCCUGGGCUGCCUGUGACGGCCCGCUGCUCGGCGUCCCCCAGCCUUCCACCGAUGGCCAAAAGGCUCGAGAAAGCAGGAGCGUGCCCUGCCUGGGAGGAAGCACCAGAUAUUGAGAAUGAAAAGAACGUGAAGCAUUCAGCUUUCCGAAGCAUUCAGCUCUGUGAAUAUACAUGAAUUAACCAGCACAGUGCAGGUAUAAUGGAAGGGCUUCCUGGUCAUUCUGGAGCAUCAGCAGCUGUACCUGGAUGUGAAUUGCACUGUGAUACAGAUAAGUUUUGCAUUAAUACUUUCCAUUUUUCAAUGUGUAAUGUUUUCAUAUUCAUACAAGUGAAGGGUUUAUGUUUUUGCUUGGUAUGUGCAACAGACACAUAUAACAGUUGCCUUAAAAAGCUGUUGUUUGUCAAGAAAAAUUAGUUGAUCCGUUGAUCUGAAGUCACUCAUCUUGUUGAACCCAUUGCAAAGGGGCUCAGACUGAGGAAGCAGCUUCUGCCUCUUGCUCUACUGUUAGACUUGCUAGGUAAUUCUGGACACAUUGCUUAACCUUCCCAAAUCUGAGUUUAAUGAGCUGGAUAUGUACCACGCCAUAUGAUGCUUAUGCUCACGAAUAAAGCACUUGAGCUCUGUGAAUGAGAAGUGUUUCAGUUUGAGUUCUAAUCCUCCGUUCAUCAGUUGACAGAAUGCUUCCACUGCGCUUCCUUAUGUAGCGAGGUGUUCUCUGCUCUGAGAUAAACUUGCCUUUAUUUAGGAGACCUGAAGGAAAAACGAACAAACAAACAAAUGAUGCAUUUGCUAAUUUUUCUGAGAUUAAACAUUCAGUAGAACUCAACAAAUAUGUUUACUAGUUUAAUUGGAUUACAUUAAUUUACAUCCCCACAGCUUUUAUUACAUAAGCCCUUUUCUACCAGGGAUUUAGUCUAUUAGUUAAGGAAACCCGAGGGAUUAAUCUGAUAGCUGCAGUCAGAAAUUACAGUGUAAUUAAAGUCACCCAGGAAACAGUGAUACUGAAGUCUGCCAAUCCCUGCAAAACAAACUUGUCAAUUUGCUGCAUCUAGGAUAGCAUAUAAGGUGACACAUUAAAGGGGCACAAGUUCUGCACCAGAAAUAGGCCUGUUAAGGAGGAACUUGUGUACUGCACAGUGUAGCCAUCGCUGUUCUUGCUACCAACUACUGCUGUCUGUUUUUGAAUAGACUUAAAAGGUUUUGGUGUUUUAUUAAAGGUCAUGUACAGUGUGGGAGAGGAAGUAUAACACGGCUUGCACGGAAGUCUAUUUUAAAGCUUACUUUACUAAUUUAGUUGGACCGAGAUGUUACUUCAUGUCCAAAAGAAGAUAGAAAAUGCAGUGGCUGUAAAGAAGAAAGUUGCAGAGCACUGGAGCAGCCUUGUUAGUAGCAGGGAGAGACGUUUUGUCAUGGUCUGUACUUGUCAGUGUCAUUUGCUGCAAGCAGGGUAAUGGAGAGCAUGCAUCGGUGCACGAGUGGAGGAGGAGAUCUGUUGUCUUCAUGAAUGGCAUCAAGGAACAGCACAGCAUUCCAGAAAUUCUGCAGAGUGUCAGUACUUGUGAUGUGUUUGAGCCAUUCUAAUAGCAUAAUAUACGCAGGAGAGAUUUAAUUUCACUAUAUCCAAAAUACACAGCAUUUGGUAUUUCUUUUGUUCUAUGAGACAUAAGUCUAAUGAUGCAUAUUCUAGUUAGUGCAACUUGCUAUCAAGGUUGUAAAGAAAUAAGCAACAAGAAGAAAAUAACGUAUGUAUUUUUUCUGUUGUCAGAGUAGACUUGUAUAUAUACUUCACAGCUUUGUCUUCUUGCUCUAAGUUGUAAAGUAACCUUCACAUAACACUGUGUAAAUGGAAAAGUUCUCUGCCAGAAAGCUAAAGCCCAAUAUCUGUUGCUUGCAAAGCCACAGAGGGAACUACCCAUUGUUUCCUAGGAGGAGAUGGUGCAGCGACUUGCUGUGGCUUUAGCAAGAGGGCAAGGCUUUGUGAUAGAAGAUAAGCAAAGUAUGAUGACUUAAGUGGAGUGCUGAAGCUUUUACUGCAUCUGUCUUGUACAGUGUUGAAUAGAUUUUUAGGAACUUGCCAGUCAGGAGACCUGCCUUCGUGCUAAUGUGCAGACAUAGAGAAACUGCAUGAACAGAGGCAGGAAGCACUCAGAACAGAAAGGGAAAAUGAGCUACUGAUGCACACAGAGCUUUGCUUGGUAUAGCAGGCAAAGGAGGAUCCAGCAGGAACAGAAGAUAUCUCUUCUGUGCCUGAUCAGCCUGAGAAAAGUCCUUAACAAAACAAAGUGGCAGCCUGGAGAGUAUAAAACACAGGAAAUGAUGCAUUUCCAGUCCCACUUUUGCUUCUUUCUCAGCAGUCGCAGGGUGGGUGAGUAGGAGUUGCCUGUGCCAGCUCUGUGCAGCCUGGCAAAACUGGGGCCAGACCCGACGUUGUUGAGGCUGCUUCCACUUUUGUUUGUGAGGUGGAGGGAAGGACACCCUCCGUAAGUGUUGGUAUUAAUGCUUUUCUCUUAGUUAAUCUGUUUUGUUUCCUGCUGAGGCAUUUUACCUUCACCUCUAAAUUAUUUCAUUCUUCGUCAAAAUCCAAAGAAAACAGAGAUUCAAAGAAAGCACCCCUUAGAAUAGACUGAACGCUGAGUAUUAUUUGUAAGAUGUAUGAAACGGGACAUGGGAAGUUAGAAACAUUCAGGGAGUCGGUAUGCAUCCAAGUAGUCAAUGGUUCAGGGGGCAGAUAAACCAACACACCCCCACCCAGCACUGCAUGGCUACACCACCAGCAUCCAGGAAUUCUGACCUUUGCUAAAUCUUUAAUAUCUUUGGUUAUCAAACCCAAACUCGCUCACAUGCCAGAAGCAGUGUGGUACUGGGUAACCAUGUAGGUAAUUUUCAUGCUCAGAGAAGACAGCUCAUUUGUCAAACUGUGUCAGGUGAGAGUGCUCAGCAGGCCUGAAUUUCUGCAGAGAAAAAGGACCGGAUUCUCCUCCCUGUUAGCACCACCCAGUCUGAGUCAUACAGGCUGGAAGCAGUAGUACAGCUGCCAAACUUCCUCACCUAGAUCACGCUAUCUGCUAUAGGCUGCACUGGGAUUAUUGAGUGAGGUGUUUGGGUGUAGAAUUAAAAUACGUUGAGCACUGGAUUGUACUGUUGGGGAUUUUUCCACAAUGUUUCUUCACCAGGAAAUGUUUUUCCUCUCUAGCAUUGCAGGGUAACAGUGUAAACGUUUGUUUUUGUUGGUUCAUUGCCAGACAAACGUAAGAACAUGUUGUAAAAGUCACAUUUUGCUGGAUUUCGUUUUAGAAUAGUAGAACUGUAGAAUGGCUUAAGUCAGAGGGAACCUUAAAGAUCAUCUAGCUUCAACUCCUCUGCCAUGGGCUGGCUGCCCCCACCAGCUCAGGGUGCCCAGGGCCCAUCCAACCCAGCCUUGGGCACCUCCAGGAAUGAGGCACCCACAGCUCUGGGCAGCAGUGCCAGGGCCUCACCAUCCCCUAAGCAAAGAAUUUCUUUGUAACAUCCAACCUAAAUCUCCCCUCUUUUAGUUUAAAUUCCGUGUAGAAUUUCAAGUGUGUUCGGCACCUGCCAUUCCAAAUACAGACAAAGUUAUAUGAUAGAACUCAGACAUUGUAAAUCGUAAUGGAUUUUGAUCACAGGAUAUGAUGCUACUUGGUCACAACAGCCCAGAUCCCUGUAGGACACAUACUUCCAUUGAUUUCACUGGAAGUUAGGGGCCACAGAGAACUCUGUGGCCCUUUUCCUACCAGCUGAAGUCAAUGAAACCACCUUUUGAAAAUGGGGUUCCAGAUAUUACAGUCUAGCAGACAAAGCUGGCUUAUCCCACAUUAAAUGUCACCUCUGAGAACAGAAUUUAAGUGAUGAUGGCGUAGUGGAAGUCUAAGACAGAGCCAAGGCCAGAGUGUAAAUUAUCUGAUGCCCAGCCCAAUGCAUGAACCACAGUGCUGAUGUUUGAUUACUGUGAGGUUGGAUACUGACUCUAUAAACAACAAAUGCAGUUUUCAAAACUUACCCGCAGCAAAUGCAGAACCCUGCCUUGACAUGGUUUUCUGAUGGUAGAACUCUGCUUGCUGAAGUCUAUUUACACCUCAAAUUUUCCAAAAACAAGACUUCAAUUCCUCAUUGCUGUGAAGCAAGCAUUACUUUUAACAAAUUACUUAAUUGCUUUUCUAGCCAUUUCUUUUCCUGCAUUUCUUAAUUGAGUUUGUAUAGAAUACUUCUACGUGAAUGAGUGCCUGAGGCAAGAUGAGGUCUGAGCAGAGACCUGUAUCUUGGUUUCCUAGUCAGUGGGAUGCAGGAGAGCCUACUGUGCUUCUGUUUAGGGAUAAGAACUUGGUUAAAGGCAUGCAACCCAACUCAUGUUUCCUUGUGCUUGCUUACAAGGAGAAUAUCAAGGUCUCAGACUGGAUAAUGAUGCAGAAAUGCACACUGACAGCGAUCCCAAUAGCCGGGCUCAUGGAGAGAAAGUCUCAGAUGUGAAUGAAGGAUGUGAGGCUGCAGCCAAAUUGAUUAGAAGCAAAGAACUCUCAGACAUCUGAAGUGUGCAAAGCAUAAAGCUGUCCUCUAAUUUCCCAGUUUUGGCAGUUUUGUUGCCACCUGAAGGUAAAGCUGGUAUUAAUCACUGGGGGGAAAAUGCAACCCUGCUCUCUUUGAUCUUUCCUCCUUUAAUCAACAGUUUCUAAGUGCAAUAAGACAUUUCAGAUGUUGCCAAUGUAUUUUUAUCUGGCAAUUGUUCAAUGCGUAUCCUAAAAUGGAGAGGUGCAUCUGCUGAAACACAGCAUGGUGCUUCUGGAGGAGGAAACCAUCUCCUUUCUGGCUUUGCACUGUUCAUUGGUCUGACAGCCUUGGAUAUCCAUGGAAAUGUAACUGUUCCUAAGAUGAAUCCUACACGUUGCACAGUUGCUCUGCUUCCUGUAACUCAUCUAAAUAUUGGUGACUAAUUAUUCUUGAGGAAACAUCCUUUCUCUGUGGAGUUAGCUUUGCAAGCAAAAGGACAUUAGAAGCAGCACCCUGACCAGGUCACUAGCCAGCCAGGAGAGAGCAGGGAUUGCAGGCAGGAGGUGGCAGCCUCGAGUAGCAGCACACUGCUUUCUCUGCUCAGCUAUGCUCAGACCUGAAUGCUAACAGGAGCAGGGUACAAACAGCUUGGGGUCUGGGUCCUUGCUUUAAGCACUGCAGCUUGAAGAUGGAAACCUAACUUUGUCCCUCGUGCCCACUAAUUAAAAACGUAGCUAAGCUGCUCUAUAGGUGCAGUGUUGGAGUUGUAUGGGUUUGCUCAGAAUUUUUAAUAUUUUGUUCAAUAUCUUCAGAGGGAAAGAAUGUAGCACUCUUUAUUUGAUCUGUCCCGUUCUCAUCUAGGUUUAUUUCUUCUUGCAAGGAAAAUUAUGUUGCAGACAAGAAUAAGUCCCCUCGAAAUACUGUAUUGUUUUGUUUGUGUGUCUAAUUCUUGAGCCCCAUCCUGCAAAGCUGAUGGUCCUCCAUGGCCUGGCUAUAGUCCACAAGGGGAUCUAUAAGGGAAUUUUGCCUCCCUCAUGAGCUACAACGAAGUAACGGCAAAUGAACCUACUUAGAUUAAAGAUGUCACUGACUGAAAUGUUCUAAUCAACAGAACCUUGCAAUUAUCCUCUCUCAGCAGAGAGGGGAACUUGAUGACAUCAUUGUUUUUUCCCUGUGAAAACGCUUAGUUGGAAAAAGACAAAAAAAGAUUCAAUGAAUCACAUGCAACAUCCCACUUGGAAUCUUUGAAUAAUCCCAAAGAGUGCCAUUCACUGCAACAAUCAAAAUGUAAGCCAAGAGAGUUCUGCAGCAUUGCUUUUUGCCCUCUGGGUGAGUAUUCGUGGUAGGAAUUUUCCUCGUUCAUUUUAUUGUAAAAUCUGUGUAUCCCUUGACUGUUUUUUUCCUGGAGUCCCACAUUUUCAUCUUCUGGACCAAAUCUGAGUUAACUUUUUUUUUUCCUUUCUUCCUUCUGAUGCACAUGAAAACUCUUUCUUUAAAAGCUGACAUGUAGCAAAUGUUACAUCUGACAUCCUGCAAAUGGAAUCCUUCGGUUAAACUGUGUGUGCACAAAUCUGUUCCCCACAGAGCCAAUGGUCUACCUGGACGGAUAUGAACGCAAGACUGGGUUUUCUGUAACAGUCCAAUCCUGUUAGACACAGAAGACAUUGUCCUGAAUGGUUUUGUUUAAUCUUUUCAUUAAGCAAACAUUUUCCUAAGUUUGCAUAAGCAGUCACCCAGCUGCGACUUCCACACAGCCUCAGUAACUCGGAGGGUGUGGUGAUUAAAUUUCCUCGGAGACUUUCCUUCCAUCUGACUACCAAAGAGUAAUUCAUUCCUCAGCCAACAUUGUUUGUUUGCUUUGUUUCUUCAGCCUUCAUCUGCAGAAGAUACAUUGGUGAGGUAAUAGUGGUCUUUCUAAUGCAAAAGAGUGAGGACGAUUUGUUGAGCCACAUUCCCUGAAGAAAGAAGGCUUAUGUGCACAGAUUCUGUCUGGCCCAACAGCCAGCACUAGAACAUGGAAUCCCAUUGGCCAAUUCACUUCAGUAUGAAAAAGAGAAGACUCCAGUUUUCUGUCAGGACUGUCAGCUGAAGGGCUGAGCCUAACAGCUGUUCUGUUCAGAAUUUGUUCCUGGGAGACCUAUUUUGCAAGCUUGUCUGCUGAAACUUCUGUAGAGAAGAAAGCAGACGGAGCCUUUUCAGAUUGCAGCUUCCCAGUUGCUGUGUUGAAAGCAUGAAGCAAAAGUGAAACCGAGGGAGAAACUGGAGCUGCCUCAUCAGUGCCAUUUCCAUACCGUGUCUGGUCUCUGGAGAAGGACAGCAUGGAUGAAUUUGUGCAACAAGCCAACCAGCCAUAGAAGAUUAUAUCUUACAAGAAAAUCCACUUGUGGUGACUUGUAAGCUACGUUGGCCAUCCCUCACCCACAGUGUUACGCUCAAAACUCCUACGUGCUCACCACAGCACUGAUGAAGAAUGAGGCCUGGAUUCUGAAGAAAGGAGCCAGAACAAGGUGCUAGAACUCUUUCCAGGAAUUUCCCAACAGACACAGAUGUCUGCUCUCCUGGGAGAAUGUCCCUCACAUCCCAUUAAGUGCUCUUGACACUUGAUCCUACCUGUGCCUACCUUGCUUCUGUCUGCAACCAGAACCGAGGUGAAACCUCUGGCCACGUUCCCCUCACUGCAGGAUGAAGAAGCACAGGCCAUUCCAGUCAGAAACAAGAGAUAGGGCUGAACUGGUGAUUCACAGACCAGUAAGUUCCAUGACACCAUAUAGUUACCUGUGUCCUGUGAGAAACAAUGUGUGAUAGUGGAACAGUUCUUUUUAAAGGUUCCAGAAUACCAUUUCCCUCCCCAGUUCUGUUCUUCUGUCAUCAGACUAUCCCUGAGUAUGGGUUCAUUGACUCCUUCCCUCUCAGUGGCACCCGUGGGUCCAUCAGCAACACGCUUCUCCCUUGACCUUUAUUUCCGAAAUCAAGAAUUCGCAAGGAGGAGAAGAACGUGCCAACACCACUUUCCAUGUGCUGCCAGCACACCUGAAAUGGACUGGUUGUAUUGUUAGAAAAACAGAGAAUCAUAGAAUCAUAGAAUCGCUAAGGUUGGAAAAGACCCACAGGAUCAUCCAGUCCAACCAUUCGCCCAUCACCAAUGGUUCCCGCUAAACCAUGUCCCUCAACACAACAUCCAAACGCUCUUUGAACACCACCAGGGUCGGUGACUCCACCACCUCUCUGGGCAGCCCAUUCCAGUGCCUGACCACCCUUUCAGAGAAGUAGUAUUUCCUAACAUCCAGCCUGAACCUUCCCUGGCACUGCAGAUAGAUUAAAUACAUGGGAGGGUUGUGAGCAGUACAGGAGAGACAAGCUGCUAUUGAUAAGCCCGAAUCAGUGUUUGUUUCUUCCCCAGGACUCCCAGUAUCAAAACAGCCAUUUGCAGCAUCUCAGCUUGCUGUUGUGUAUUCCUGGUACCUGACCUCCUCAGUCUGGUUGCUGUGCAUCUGUUAGCCUGCGACCUUCCCACACUGAGCAGGGGAGGGAGAAGGAAGAGCAGAGGAAGACAGGUGGAGAAAUAAUUUUAUUUUUUAUUUUCAUUUUACACAAGGUCUAGGGAAAUGGACACUGGCAGGGGCCAAAUGAUAUCUGAACACCUCUGUGCUAACGUGGCAGCUUUGUGAGAAGGCAGUAUUUGAGUCAGAGGCCUGAUUCUCCCUACCUUUGGUUCAAGGCAAAGGUAAAAAUUGUUUAAAAGCUGGUAGACAGCAGAUCUGAAACCAGCCCUUGCCCUGUGAGGGUAUGGCAUGAUGAUAGAGCUUAAAGGAUACUGAAUAUUUUUGUAUGAAAUGAGGGCAGAAGAGGAAGGAAGAGUGAACCCCACGCAGCCCACUGUUCUCUGCAGGCUGCAGUCUGUAGGGGUGACACCCUCGCAGUCCCACUGACAGCACUGCAGCAGAGAGGGCACAUGGGCUCCAUACUGCAGUGCAACAUCUAUGCUCAGAAAUGGAUUAUGAAGCUGUAGCAUUCUUCCACCAUCAUUCGUGCUGCUUUGCCUCCUUCCCCUCCCCCCGUACACCGGCAGCCAUCACAGAUUGCUCUUCUUCCCACCCUCCAAGCUGUACGCUGUCCCCUUUCCACCCCCAUUUCCCAGAGCAUCCUCUGGCAGCAGCUGCCAUGGGCACCUUUUGUGGCCUAGGGAGGAGAGAGGUGGGAAAUGGGGAAGGCAGGUCCCAGCUUGUCACCCAAGUUGGGACAAGAGAACCAGCAGAGUUCAACCACAAAAACAGGAGUUACUGAGUCAAGUCAGUGACCCAAGGUGCACAGAACCAGGGAGGGAGAUUACAAUUCAAGGCAAUCUAUGCUCAUGCCUUUUCCCAGGCUGCUCUGGUAGCACAGUAUAGCUGGAGCCAAAGGAAAUUCUGCAGCUGAUUUCACUAACAGGAUAAAAGCAGCCCUAUUGGCACAGGCAGAAUUCAGCCCUGAAGGUAUAUGAGUAAUGUUUCCCCAACCAGCACAUGAUAUUGCUGCUUGCAUUAUGCUCCUUUUAAUAAGAGACAAGGAGGGCCUCUUGGACUAUCCAGUGGUUCGUGGUGUUCAGGACAUACAGUGAUACCCACUUAAUGAAGGAGGAGGAACAGGAUACGCUGUGACACACAGACAGCAAAUAAUUGCUCCCAUCCCAGCUGGAAAGCAGGCAGUGGUCCCAGCCUGCUCAUCCAGUCCAACAGGUACAGAACUGUGACAGCAACAGAUGACCUCAGCCUGCACCUCCCAACAGACACCCUCUAGUUCUGCCCUCCCACAGCAGAUACGCAGCCUGCAGUCACAGGGUUACCUUGCCUGCUGUGCCACUGCUUCGGUCGUACAGAUUAAAUAUGCUUUUCUCAGA